AACGAACGCUGGCGGCAUGCCUAACACAUGCAAGUCGAACGAGACCUUCGGGUCUAGUGGCGCACGGGUGCGUAACGCGUGGGAACCUGCCCUUAGGUUCGGAAUAACUCCCCGAAAGGGGUGCUAAUACCGGAUAAUGUCUUCGGACCAAAGAUUUAUCGCCUUUGGAUGGGCCCGCGUUGGAUUAGCUAGUUGGUAGGGUAAAAGCCUACCAAGGCGACGAUCCAUAGCUGGUGUGAGAGGAUGAUCAACCACACUGGGACUGAGACACGGCCCAGGCUCCUACGGGAGGCAGCAGUGGGGAAUAUUGGACAAUGGGCGAAAGCCUGAUCCAGCAAUGCCGCGUGAGUGAUGAAGGCCUUAGGGUUGUAAAGCUCUUUUACCCGGGAUGAUAAUGACAGUACCGGGAGAAUAAGCUCCGGCUAACUCCGUG
rnacentral:rRNA from 1 species